GGGGAUGUAGCUCAGUGAUAGAGCAUUUGUCUAGCAUACAUGAGGCCCUGGGUUUGAUUCCCAGCACCA
rnacentral:tRNA from 1 species